GAGUUUGAUCCUGGCUCAGGAUGAACGCUGGCGGCGUGCCUAAUACAUGCAAGUCGAGCGAACAGACAAGGAGCUUGCUCCUUUGACGUUAGCGGCGGACGGGUGAGUAACACGUGGGUAACCUACCUAUAAGACUGGAAUAACUCCGGGAAACCGGGGCUAAUGCCGGAUAAUAUUUAGAACCGCAUGGUUCUAAAGUGAAAGAUGGUUUUACUAUCACUUAUAGAUGGACCCGCGCCGUAUUAGCUAGUUGGUGGGGUAAUGGCUUACCAAGGCAACGAUACGUAGCCGACCUGAGAGGGUGAUCGGCCACACUGGAACUGAGACACGGUCCAGACUCCUACGGGAGGCAGCAGUAGGGAAUCUUCCGCAAUGGGCGAAAGCCUGACGGAGCAACGCCGCGUGAGUGAUGAAGGUCUUCGGAUCGUAAAACUCUGUUAUUAGGGAAGAACAAAUGUGUAAGUAACUGUGCACGUCUUGACGGUACCUAAUCAGAAAGCCACG
rnacentral:rRNA from 1 species